AUGCCGGCCAGCCAGAGGUUUCUUUUCUUCCUCGUCGCCUUCCUCCUCCUGGCGGCGACGGCGUCGGCCGGAGGGGACGACCACGCCGCCGGCACGAGCGAGGCGCGUCCGCCCGACGCGGCGUUCGACGUGCGGGCGAGGAAGUGGUGGCCGCGGGUCCCGGCGACGGACGGCCUCGUCAGGGGCAGCGAGCGCCGGGUGCCCAACUCCUCCGACCCGCUCCACAACCGCUGA
rnacentral:rRNA from 1 species